UACAGAGGUCUCAAGCGUUGUUCGGAUUCAUUGGGCGUAAAGGGUGCGUAGGCGGCUUUGUAAGUCAGUGGUGAAAUACUCCAGCUUAACUGGAGGGGUGCCAUUGAUACUGCGGAGCUUGAGUACAGAUGAGGUAGGCGGAAUUGACGGUGUAGCGGUGAAAUGCAUAGAUAUCGUCAAGAACACCGAUAGCGAAGGCAGCUUACUGGGCUGUAACUGACGCUGAUGCACGAAAGUGUGGGGAUCAAACAGG
rnacentral:rRNA from 1 species